rnacentral:rRNA from 1 species
GUCUUAUUGAUAAAUAAUUUUAAGUCUUGCCUGCUCAAUGUAGUGAUAAAUAGCCGCGGUAAUUUGACUGUGCUAAGGUAGCAUAAUCAUUAGUUUUUUAAUUGGAAGCUAGAAUGAAGGGUUAUAUGAGAAAAUAUCUGUCUCUUUUAUAAAAUUAAAAUUUUAUUUUUAAGUUAAAAAGCUUAAAUAAAGUUAAAAGACGAGAAGACCCUAUAGAGUUUAAUAUAAUAAUAAUUUUAUUUUAUUAGUAAAUAAAAUAUAAAAUUUAUUUUAUAUUUAAUUGGGGUGAUUAAAAAAUAUAAAAAUCUUUUUUUAAUAUUAACAUUAAUAUAUGAUUAUAUGAUUCAUUUUUAUGAUUAAAGAAUAAAUUACCUUAGGGAUAACAGCGUAAUUUUUUUUGAAAGUUCAAAUUUAAAAGAAAGUUUGCGACCUCGAUGUUGGAUUAAAAUUGUAAUUUUGGUGUAGAAGCUAAAAUAUUAAGUCUGUUCGACUUUUAAAAUUUUACA